AUUGAACGCUGGCGGCAGGCCUAACACAUGCAAGUCGAGCGGGGUUUUCGGACCUAGCGGCGGACGGGUGAGUAAUGCGUAGGAAGCUACCCGAUAGAGGGGGAUACCAGUUGGAAACGACUGUUAAUACCGCAUAAUGUCUACGGACCAAAGUGUGGGACCUUCGGGCCACAUGCUAUCGGAUGCGCCUACGUGGGAUUAGCUAGUUGGUGGGGUAAUGGCUCACCAAGGCGACGAUCCCUAGCUGGUUUGAGAGGAUGAUCAGCCACACUGGAAAGGGGACGCGGUCCAGACUCCUACGGGAGGCAGCAGUGGGGAAUAUUGGACAAUGGGCGCAAGCCUGAUCCAGCCAUGCCGCGUGUGUGAAGAAGGCCUUCGGGUUGUAAAGUACUUUCAGUAGGGAGGAAGGGUGUUGUGUUAAUAGCACAGCAUUUUGACGUUACCUACAGAAGAAGCACCGGCUAACUCUGUGCCAGCCGCCGCGGUAAAAC
rnacentral:rRNA from 1 species